GCAUAUUAUUCCAACUUGGAUGAAAGCCCUGACUCCCACACAGACCAAAGAAAACAGAACGUCUAAGACUGGUAAUGGAAAUGGUUCUUCCAGGCAGAACGAACAUUCCCUGGAGUGAUGCUGAAAAAAAGUGGUUUGGCGACAGCAAGGGACCUGCAUAACACUAAUGAAAGUUCCAGGGAAAGACAAAUGUUUAAAGUGCCUACAGAA